rnacentral:rRNA from 1 species
GACGAACGCUGGCGGCGUGCUUAACACAUGCAAGUCGAACGGAAAGGCCCUGCUUUUGUGGGGUGCUCGAGUGGCGAACGGGUGAGUAACACGUGAGUAACCUGCCCUUGACUUUGGGAUAACUUCAGGAAACUGGGGCUAAUACCGGAUAGGAGCUCCUGCUGCAUGGUGGGGGGUGGAAAGUUUCGGCGGUUGGGGAUGGACUCGCGGCUUAUCGGCUUGUUGGUGGGGUAGUGGCUUACCAAGGCUUUGACGGGUAGCCGGCCUGAGAGGGUGACCGGCCACAUUGGGACUGGGAUACGGCCCAGACUCCUACGGGAGGCAGCGGUGGGGAAUAUUGCACAAUGGGCGGAAGCCUGAUGAAGCAACGCCGCGUGCGGGAUGACGGCCUUCGGGUCGUAAACCGCUUUCGCCUGUGACGAAGCGUGAGUGACGGUAAUGGGUAAAGAAGCACCGGCUAACUACGUG